rnacentral:rRNA from 1 species
AAUAGAUACCCGGGUAGUCCAUGCCGUAAACGAUGUCUACUAGCCGUUGGGGCCUUUGAGGCUUUAGUGGCGCAGCUAACGCGAUAAGUAGACCGCCUGGGGAGUACGGUCGCAAAACUAAAACUCAAAUGAAUUGACGGGGGCCCGCACAAGCGGUGGAGCAUGUGGUUUAAUUCGAUGCAACGCGAAGAACCUUACCUGGCCUUGACAUACUAGAAACUUUCCAGAGAUGGAUUGGUGCCUUCGGGAAUCUAGAUACAGGUGCUGCAUGGCUGUCGUCAGCUCGUGUCGUGAGAUGUUGGGUUAAGUCCCGCAACGAGCGCAACCCUUUUCCUUACUUGCCAGCAUUUCGGAUGGGAACUUUAAGGAUACUGCCAGUGACAAACUGGAGGAAGGCGGGGACGACGUCAAGUCAUCAUGGCCCUUACGGCCAGGGCUACACACGUGCUACAAUGGUCGGUACAAAGGGUUGCUAGCCUGCGAAGGUGUGCUAAUCUCAAAAGCCGAUCGUAGUCCGGAUUGGAGU